rnacentral:rRNA from 1 species
ACGCCGCGUGAGUGAUGAAGGCUUUCGGGUCGUAAAACUCUGUUGUUAGGGAAGAACAAGUGCUAGUUGAAUAAGCUGGCACCUUGACGGUACCUAACCAGAAAGCCACGGCUAACUACGUGCCAGCAGCCGCGGUAAUACGUAGGUGGCAAGCGUUAUCCGGAAUUAUUGGGCGUAAAGCGCGCGCAGGUGGUUUCUUAAGUCUGAUGUGAAAGCCCACGGCUCAACCGUGGAGGGUCAUUGGAAACUGGGAGACUUGAGUGCAGAAGAGGAAAGUGGAAUUCCAUGUGUAGCGGUGAAAUGCGUAGAGAUAUGGAGGAACACCAGUGGCGAAGGCGACUUUCUGGUCUGUAACUGACACUGAGGCGCGAAAGCGUGGGGAGCAAACAGGAUUAGAUACCCUGGUAGUCCACGCCGUAAACGAUGAGUGCUAAGUGUUAGAGGGUUUCCGCCCUUUAGUGCUGAAGUUAACGCAUUAAGCACUCCGCCUGGGGAGUACGGCCGCAAGGCUGAAACUCAAAUGAU